rnacentral:rRNA from 1 species
AAUCAACGCUGGCGGCGUGCCUAACACAUGCAAGUCGAACGGCAGCACGGGGGCAACCCUGGUGGCGAGUGGCGAACGGGUGAGUAAUACAUCGGAACGUGCCCAGUCGUGGGGGAUAACGUAGCGAAAGCUACGCUAAUACCGCAUACGAACUCUGGUUGAAAGCGGGGGAUCGCAAGACCUCGCGCGAUUGGAGCGGCCGAUGGCAGAUUAGGUAGUUGGUGGGGUAAAGGCCUACCAAGCCGGCGAUCUGUAGCUGGUCUGAGAGGACGACCAGCCACACUGGGACUGAGACACGGCCCAGACUCCUACGGGAGGCGGCAGUGGGGAAUUUUGGACAAUGGGCGCAAGCCUGAUCCAGCCACUCCGCGUGCAGGAUGAAGGCCCUCGGGUUGUAAACUGCUUUUGUACGGAACGAAACGGUCCUGGUUAAUACCUGGGGCUAAUGACGGUACCGUAAGAAUAAGCACCGGCUAACUACGUGCCAGCAGCCGCCGUAAAAC